rnacentral:rRNA from 1 species
GACGAACGCUGGCGGCAUGCCUAACACAUGCAAGUCGAGCGAGUGGCGGACGGGUGAGUAAUGUAUGGUGACUGCCCGAUAGAGGGGGAUAACUACUGGAAACGGUGGCUAAUACCGCAUACUAUCGGCUAACCCAUCUGGGAUUAGCUAGUGGGUGGGGUAAAGGCUCACCUAGGCGACGAUCUCUAGCUGGUCUGAGAGGAGGAGCAGACACACUGGGACGGGGACAAGGCCAAGACUACUACGGAGGAAGCAGUGGGGAAGAUUGGAGAAUGGGCGAAAGCCUGAGGCAGCCAUGCCGGGUGUAUGAAGAAGGCCUUAGGGUUGUAAAGUACUUGCAGCGGGGAGGCGUUACCCGCAGAAGAAGCACCGGCUAACUCCGUGCCAGCAGCCGCGGUAAUAC